rnacentral:rRNA from 1 species
CGAAAGCCUGACGGAGCAAUACCGCGUGAGGGAGGAAGGCUCUUGGGUUGUAAACCUCUUUUCUCAGGGAAGAACAGAAUGACGGUACCUGAGGAAUAAGCAUCGGCUAACUCCGUGCCAGCAGCCGCGGUAAUACGGAGGAUGCAAGCGUUAUCCGGAAUGAUUGGGCGUAAAGGGUCCGCAGGUGGCAUUGUAAGUCUGCUGUUAAAGAGUUUGGCUCAACCAAAUAAGAGCAGUGGAAACUACAAAGCUAGAGUGUGGUCGGGGCAGAGGGAAUUCCUGGUGUAGCGGUGAAAUGCGUAGAUAUCAGGAAGAACACCAGUGGCGAAGGCGCUCUGCUAGGCCGAGACUGACACUGAGGG